UUAAGUAGAUUAAGUAUGAGUUGCUUUCUCUGUCUUGAAAAAGAUACUUUAUGGAAAAAUAACAACAGGAUCAACUAGGAUCGAGAAAGCAUUACCUGAGAGCCAUGUGCGAUACCUUCUAUGUGAUACUGUGCCUGAUAACCAUGCUCAUAAUAUGGAUUGCUGUGCUUCAUUUGGAGUACUUUUCUUAAAGAGGGGUGAAGCUACAAGUUCUACGGCCAUAUGUUACUUUUCAGCAAGUUUUGGUUAUUUUAAUCUCUGUAAUUUCCCUCUAGUUCUUAGUUUUUUCUUGGAAAUAUACAUAUUUUGUAAACCAUAAAUAAACGGUCACCAUGGGCAAAAUCUA